GACGAACGCUGGCGGCGUGCUUAACACAUGCAAGUCGAACGGAGCUAUUUAUUUCGGUAGAUAGCUUAGUGGCAAACGGGUGAGUAACGCGUAGGCAACCUGCCCUCAGGAUGGGGACAACGGCUCGAAAGAGCCGCUAAUACCGAAUGACGUAACUCUUCCACAUGGAAGAGAUACUAAAGAUGGGUCAAACCAUCGCCUAAGGAUGGGCCUGCGUCUGAUUAGCCAGUUGGUGAGGUAACGGCUCACCAAAGCGACGAUCAGUAGCCGGUCUGAGAGGAUGAACGGCCACAAUGGGACUGAGACACGGCCCAUACUCCUACGGGAGGCAGCAGUGGGGAAUCUUCCGCAAUGGGCGAAAGCCUGACGGAGCAACGCCGCGUGAGUGAAGAAGGUCUUCGGAUCGUAAAGCUCUGUUGUCGGGGACGAAAGAGUAGACGAGGAAAUGCGUCUACUAGACGUACCUGACGAGAGCC
rnacentral:rRNA from 1 species